rnacentral:rRNA from 1 species
UACAGAGGGGGCAAGCGUUAUUCGGAAUUAUUGGGCGUAAAGAGCGCGCAGGCGGUCGUUCAAGUCGCGUGUGAAAGCCCCCGGCUCAACUGGGGAGGGUCACGCGAUACUGAUCGACUGGAAGGCAGGAGAGGGUAGUGGAAUUCCCGGUGUAGUGGUGAAAUGCGUAGAUAUCGGGAGGAACACCAGUGGCGAAGGCGGCUUCCUGGCCUGCUCUUGACGCUGAGGCGCGAAAGCUAGGGUAGCAAACGGG